rnacentral:rRNA from 1 species
AGUGAACGCUGGCGGCAGGCCUAACACAUGCAAGUCGAACGGCAGCACAGUAAGAGCUUGCUCUUACGGGUGGCGAGUGGCGGACGGGUGAGGAAUACAUCGGAAUCUACUUUUUCGUGGGGGAUAACGUAGGGAAACUUACGCUAAUACCGCAUAUGAUCUACGGGUGAAAGCAGGGGAUCUUCGGACCUUGCGCGACUGAAUGAGCCGAUGUCGGAUUAGCUAGUUGGCGGGGUAAAGGCCCACCAAGGCGACGAUACGUAGCUGGUCUGAGAGGAUGAUCAGCCACACUGGAACUGAGACACGGUCCAGACUCCUACGGGAGGCAGCAGUAGGGAAUCUUGGGCAAUGGGCGCAAGCCUGAUCCAGCCAUGCCGCGUGAGUGAUGAAGGCCUUCGGGUUGUAAAGCCCUUUUGUUGGGAAAGAAAAGCAGCAGAUUAAUACGCGGCUGUUCUGACGGUACCCAAAGAAUAAGCACCGGCUAACUUCGUG